ACCAUAUAUCGGGCUGGUUGAGCAUUCUCGUGUCUCUAAAUUGCAAAAGUGGAUGAAAUUCUUGUUCGAUUCGGUCGUGGUGCAGUAGCUGAUAACUUCCAUGCUGUUACUCGGCCAACGAUUGAAGAUGGCCCCAGGCUCAGCGAUGAGGUCGGCAUCUGGAGCCUCACCAGGUAUGAAAUGCGCGGAGAUGUGGAGAAUCGUUUGCCGGGUCUCCACCGGCUGGGAUUGAUGCUGGCCUCCUCCGCUGAUUUGGAAUUCAAGCGGCCCUUCGGUUGCUCCGCUGGCUGAUUGUUGCAGCAUCUGCACCUGACCGACGCCUUGAUGAGGAGAAGACGAGGACGAUGACGAAGUUUCAUUGUGUCUCCGUCUAAUGGUCACAUUAGCGCUGCUGCUGCUGCUGCUGCUGCCGCUGCCGCCACUGGCCGGCACAAACGAUUGAGUUAUGGGCCCGUCCAUCGCAACUGGCGCUCCCGGCAUGUCGUCCAUCUGUCACCCCGACGAAACGGCACCAAUAGACGAUACGAAAACCAGGGAUUGCGAAGAGAAGGACCAUCUCUUCAACGGUGGGAGGAGGAACGUUGAGGUGUAGGACGACAUGAUUUUGAAGGAGCGCCAAGUUGCAAAGUCAGAGGGAGGGGCCGUCGUUUGGAAAAGAUAAACGCGAUACACUAACUGGACUCGGAUGGCGGAGACGGUGACAGGUUGGUUGAGAAAUAAAUGACUAUCGUCCGCGUGUGUCAUCAUCGUCUCUCGGCAGCAGGUCAGUGACAGGGUCGUAUCAUCACGUGCGUCCAUUCUUUUUCAUUCCUUCUUAUUUCUUUCUCCUUUUCUUUAAAUUGCGAAGGGCAGUUUUUGCUCUUUUCUCUUUCCCUCCCUCUUUUAAGUAAACCUCUACUGUGUCGUUGACAUUUAUUGUCUGUUGGCCAGUGCACAGGGAUAAAGGGGAACCAUCAAAAUGAGAGAGGACAUGUAUAAGACGAUGGCUCCCGCGGGAAAGCAAGCUUUUCCAGCUCUCUUUGUCAAACAAGAGAGAGAGAGAAGGAAGAAGGGUGGGGGGGGAUACGGCCAGUCUUUUCCUCCCCUGUCCGAAUGUUUUUCUCCA